rnacentral:rRNA from 1 species
AACGAACGCUGGCGGCAUGCCUAACACAUGCAAGUCGAACGAGACCUUCGGGUCUAGUGGCGCACGGCUACGUAACGCGUGGGAAGCUGCCCUUAGGUUCGGAAUAACUCCCCGUAAGGUGUGCUAAUACCGGAUAAUGUCUUCGGACCUAAGAUUUAUGGCCUUUGGAUGGGCCCGCGUUGGAUUAGCUAGUUGGUAGUGUACAAGCCUACCAAGGCGGGGAUGCAUGGCUGGUCUGGUAGGAUGAUCAGCCACAAUGGGACUGCGGCACGGCCCAGAAUCGGACGGAGGGGAGCAGUGGGGAAUAUUAGGCGAUGGGCGAAAGCCUGAUAAAGCAGUGCCGGGUGAGUGAGGAAGGGCGUAGGGUUGUAAAGCUCUUUUAGACGGGAUGAUAAUGACGGUAACGGGAGAAUAAGCUCCGGCUAACUACGUG